rnacentral:rRNA from 2 species
UGAGGAAUAUUGGUCAAUGGUCGGAAGACUGAACCAGCCAUGCCGCGUGCAGGAAGACGGUCCUAUGGAUUGUAAACUGCUUUUGUACGGGAAGAAACACUCCUUCGUGAAGGAGCUUGACGGUACCGUAAGAAUAAGGAUCGGCUAACUCCGUGCCAGCAGCCGCGGUAAUACGGAGGAUCCAAGCGUUAUCCGGAAUCAUUGGGUUUAAAGGGUCCGUAGGCGGUUAGAUAAGUCAGUGGUGAAAUCCGGCAGCUUAACUGUCGAACUGCCAUUGAUACUGUUUGACUUGAAUUACUGUGAAGUAACUAGAAUAUGUAGUGUAGCGGUGAAAUGCUUAGAUAUUACAUGGAAUACCAAUUGCGAAGGCAGGUUACUAAUGGUUUAUUGACGCUGAUGGACGAAAGCGUGGGGAGCGAACA